UGCACUGGCACAAACUUUAUUCUGUAGGUAUUAAAAGACGAGAAGUGUGUCCCCUCCCCGCAGCCCCUGCCCUUGUGCUGGCUGUGGGGAAGGGGCUGGCUCGGCCCCAUGGCCAUGUCUGCAUGCAUGGGGGGUGCUGGGGGUCCCCAAGCCACCGUGUCUUUGUCCCCUGGGCUGUGUCCCUGCGCCUGCCAGGGAUGCGGUGGUGGCUUCGCCAUGAACCUUUCCCACCAGGCUGGGUUGUCCCCUUCUCCAAGCCCCUGGUGCUGGGGGGAACAUCCUCGCUCAGGGCAGACCCUGCUCCAUACUUCCCCCAGUUGAACCAGUGUGGGAGCCCCCUGGCCACGGGGACCGUCCCCCCCCGGGUCCCCCCUUGCCGCAGCCUCUGCUGGGCUCCAGCUCUCUCCUCAUGGGGGCCGGGCAGUGGGGGGACCACAGGGGCCGGGCAGGGGGCAGUAGCCAGCCGCAGGGUCGGGGGGUGGUGUGGGGCUGUGGGAAGGCUGUGGGGGUCCGUGGGGCUCAGAACUGUGCGGCACCGCUGGGGUCACACUGCAGCAGGCGCACGAUGGACGGGUCACUCUUGGCACCUUUGAUGAACUCCUCCAGCGAAAGCUUACCUCCCACCCCAGGUACUGUGCCGGGGGUGACACAGAGUGCACGUCCCCAGCUUGCAUCCACCACCAGGGUGGCACACAGGACCGCGGGGACGGAGCUCCGUACCUGCACGAUCUCCAGCAUCUCCUCCCGGCUGAUGUAGCCGUUGCCGUCCAGGUCGUACAUGCUGAAGGCCCACAUGAGCUUCUGCUCCAGCUUCCCGCGGGAGGUGACGCUCAGGGCGAUGAUGAACUCUCGGAAGUCGAUGGUGCCGUCGCCGUUGGUGUCGAAGGUGCGGAAGACGUGCUCGGCAAACUUGGAGGCGUCGCCGUAAGGGAAGAAGUUGGCGUAGAUCUUCUUGAACUCUUCCACGUUGAGGAUCCCGGAGGGACAAUCCUUCAGGAAACCCUUGUACCAGCCCUGCAGCUCCAGGUCGGAGAACUCGGUGUUUUCCCGCAGGUCCUGGAGCAUCUCGGGGCGCAGUUUGCUGUUCUGCUUCCCCAUC
rnacentral:lncRNA from 1 species